CGCCGCCAGCGCUCCGCAUCCCCUUUCCUUUCCCGUUCCCGGGAUGCGGCACCGCGCCUUGCGGGGCUCGCUCCGCACUACGGCCCCUCUCCAUUGACCGCCCUUCCCGGGCGGGGGCGGCUGAGCUGCGCCAGGCAAGGUUGAGGUCGCACAUCAGGAGGAAUUCCUUCCCGAAAAGGGUUGGCCUCGAUGAUGCCAGAGGUGUUUUCCAGCCCCGGUGACUCCGUGGUUCCCGCAGCGAGCCCCGCAGCUCGGGGCCGGAGGGCGGGUGAGUGGCGGUGCCCUGGCCGGAGCGGGGCCGGCCCGAGCAGCCCCCGCUGCCCCUGGCCAGGCGAGCCAGGAAUUGGCUCAUUCCCUGCUCUGCCACCGGGCAGCCCCCGCUGUCCCUGGCCAGGUGAGCCUGCGGGCUGCAGGAAUUGGGUUAUUGCUGCUUCGUUCCCCGCUCUGCGGGCAGGAGCGGAUCCGCCACCGCACAGCCCCGUAGGAUGAAUGCGUGGCAUCGGGCCGGCCCCUGCUGGGCUCUGCUCCCUGAACUCCAGGGCUCUUGGACAGCGCUCCAGAGGGACGUGCCCGGAGUCCGAAGGCUGUGGGAAGCAGCUGAACCCGGGCAGGCAGGGCAGCGUGGCACCGAGCCCAGCGCCAUCCCCACACCCCUCAGACAAGGGACGAAGCUGAAGCAAGACUUGUGGUGUUUCUGUUUACGGUACAAAAAUACACAUUUAGGUGUUCUCGAGCAUCUCCAGCCCGCUCUGCAGUCCUAACGUGAAAUAAACGUUUGUCUUCCCGUG